rnacentral:rRNA from 1 species
UAAGACGAACCGUGCGAACGUUGUUCGGAAUCACUGGGCUUAAAGGGCGCGUAGGCGGCUGACCAAGUCAGUGGUGAAAUCCUGCAGCUUAACUGUAGAAGUGCCUUUGAUACUGGUCGGCUCGAGGGAGGUAGGGGUCUGUGGAACUUCUGGUGGAGCGGUGAAAUGCGUUGAUAUCAGAAGGAACGCCGGUGGCGAAAGCGACGGACUGGACCUCUUCUGACGCUGAGGCGCGAAAGCUAGGGGAGCAAACGGGAUUAGAUACCCCGGUAGUCCUAGCCCUAAACGAUGGGCACUAGGUUGUAGACUAACAUGGGUUUACAGCCGAAGCAAAAGUGUUAAGUGCCCCGCCUGGGGAGUAUGGUCGCAAGGCUG